AGAUUAAACUGAAGAGUUUGAUCCUGGCUCAGAUUGAACGCUGGCGGAAUGCUUUACACAUGCAAGUCGAACGGCAGCACGGGAGCUUGCUCCUGGUGGCGAGUGGCGAACGGGUGAGUAAUGUAUCGGAACGUACCCCGUCGUGGGGGAUAACUCUCCGAAAGGAGAGCUAAUACCGCAUACGACCCGAGGGUGAAAGCGGGGGACCUGGGGUAACCUGGGCCUCGCGCGAUGGGAGCGGCCGAUAUCGGAUUAGCUAGUUGGUGGGGUAAAGGCCUACCAAGGCGACGAUCCGUAGCGGGUCUGAGAGGACGACCCGCCACACUGGAACUGAGACACGGUCCAGACUCCUACGGGAGGCAGCAGUGGGGAAUUUUGGACAAUGGGCGCAAGCCUGAUCCAGCCAUUCCGCGUGAGUGAAGAAGGCCUUCGGGUUGUAAAGCUCUUUCAGCAGGAACGAAACGGUGGGUCUUAAUACGGCCUGCUAAUGACGGUACCUGCAGAAGAAGCACCGGCUAACUACGUGCCAGCAGCCGCGGUAAUACGUAGGGUGCGAGCGUUAAUCGGAAUUACUGGGCGUAAAGCGUGCGCAGGCGGCGAC
rnacentral:rRNA from 1 species